GAAAGCCCAUUCUAGUCAAAAUCUGAAGGCCUGAGAACCAGGUUAUAAGUCCCAGUCUGAGUUUGAAGAUCCAAGAACCAAGUGGCUGAAUGUCUAAGUACCAGAGAAUAUGGAUGUCUCAGCUCAAGCAGAGAGCAAAUUCACCCUUCCUCACCCUUUUUCCUUCCAUUCAGUCCUUCAGUGGACUGUAUGAGGACCCCUGCAUUGAGUGCUGGAACCUCUCUUCAGGAAACCUGGACUUCUACAAAGGCUUUCUCAUCCAUGGGAGACUGCCAAAAUUAGCGCUCUCUGGGUAGUCCCUAACCAUGGCCAAGAAGAGCUGAAACUGGUUCCAAGGCUCCUGUCAGUUCCACAGCUCUUAUUGAGGUCUGUCUGCCUACUACCUGAUGCACAGGAACAUAUUGGAAAACAAAGAUUAAACAGAAUUAUCAAGUAAGUCCUUUACUGAGAAUUUAAUUGUGAGCUUGCCAACCACGGUUUGAUUUUUCAUCAUCUUGUUCCAGGGUUAUAAACCUUUCA